rnacentral:tRNA from 1 species
GCCCCUGUAGCCCAAUUGGUAGCAGGCAGCGGUCUUAGAAGCCGUUCAGUGUCAGUUCGAAUCUGACCGGGGGUACCA